UUGUGUUUGUGGGUCUGGUCGGACGUGCUUUUGUUGUGCUCUUCGAUUGCGUUGCUUUUUUUGCGGUUUGCGGACUUUUGCAGAGAAGAUUAAAUAUUUUUCAGGUAAGUCUUAUUCCAUAUUGACCCUUAGACGUAAGAAUUUAUUUAAUAUCACUUAGAGAAUCGGUCCCAGAAGACAUCUCGGCACAUCGUUCGAUGGUCGACCAUUUGCACUUCGGAUUCGAAUCUUUUAGAUUUAAAAAGGCAGCUGCGAAUGAAGAUGUUUGCGUGGUUUCGCCGGAGGUUCCGACGGAAGAAUGCGGUGGCGCCGGAGGGAAGGGGUUUCUCGGACGGCUCCGACGAGACGUUCGAGGACCGUUGGCUCGACUGGUCUCUGUCGAAUCGAUUAGUUCGGUGUCGUUUGAGACCGUCGAGCGAGAAGCAGCGGGUUGUGACGACCUUCCCCCAGUGCGUGUGGCGUGGGAUUCUCCUGGAGGCGGGAGAGUUCUGAGUCCAUUCCACUUGGCCAAGGUGGUCAGAGAUCAGCCGGCCCUAGGCCUUGUUAAAGAAGGCAUAGAUAGUGACGAGUCCUCUUGGAGUUCGUCUAUUUUCGCGAGGUCUGCGUCUCCGUCCGCGCUCGCGACCACGUCUCCACAUCGUCUUUCGGAAGUCGGAACGGGGAAGAUUCGGAGGAGAGCGCCGCCGAAGUCGAGAAACCGCGGUUUUGCUGCUGUGGGAGGCUGCGGUUCCCUUGGCCUAGGCGGUGAUCCUCUUCGAUUUUCUCCAACUCGUCCUUUGCACUCGGAUGCGACAUUCUGACCGGAUUCGACACUUUUCACCCGGACACGAUACCUUUACUCGGACGUGGCCUUCUCUUACCCGGAUGUUCUCACCUCACGGACUUGUCUCCCAUACGUGACACUCGAUCGACGACAAUUGAUUUGACUUCCGAUUGUGACCACCCUGACGCGACAUUCGGCCGACCUUUCUUCCCAAACAGCUGUUAUGAAGAUUGAGCUUCCGGUUACGGUAGGUUAGGUAGGCAAGGCUAGGUCAGGUCCUUCGCUCUUCUCAUAACACUGUUCGGGAAGAAAGACUGUCUGAUAAAGGAACAUUUGGGAGGGAGA
rnacentral:misc_RNA from 1 species